UGCACUGCUUGCAGAUCACUUCCAGACGGGCCGCGGCACGCGCUACAUGCGAGCCUGGUCGAGUUGUGGGAGCAGUGUCAACGCAGCAAGAUGUGCAAACCGCAAUCCGCAUCGUCAUUGGAGGCAGCCGAGCCGAAACGCCCACUCAUUCGGCAGCCGGCGCCGCUGCACUGUCGGCGCCGUCGGCUGAUGCUCGGUGCCAGGAUCAACCUGAAUCUCCUCUGGGAAGACAUGCGCGCCGUCUUUUCGGCCGCUGGUGGUCCGACCUCUCCUGCCAUCUAUCGGCCGACGGGCGAAACUGAGGCGCUGCAGAACGCGUGGAACGAGCUACGAGAGCUGGCUAUACUGAACAGCGGCGAGGGGCCUAGACUGGAAGCUCCGCCUGAACCAGGGUCCAGCACAGGAGUUUAACGGCAAACAAUUUUCUCAGUGUGUGUAUGAUUAAUUGAAGUGUUUCCGAACAGCCUGAGGAAUUAUAGGAGCUAGCGCAGCACGUUAUAGAGCUCACGCAAAUGUCAGAAUCAUGUCAUUUGAGCGGCGAUUCCUGGGCAGACCGCCCAUUUUCUCACUGCAUCACGAGUCUUUCUGCGGGCGCGGGGCUGUCUGAGGCUGUGAUUGGUCCGUGUCAGAGCUGGCGCAGCUCCGGUGUUGUGGGGUGACCGCCGGGGCUGCCGGUGGGGAGAGGGCGGCGCCACGUCCCGCGGUGGCGGCGGCUCGUGCGGCGCCGCUCGGUCGCGCCGCUCGUCCCGUUUACACGUGCCAACCUGUGAUGGAUUGGGGGCCGGCGAGCCCCAUUGUUUAUGAUUGUUUAUGUUUAUGGACGCUGAUGGACAAGUGUGACCCGUGAUAUGAUGUGAUAGAUACAUACAAGAGUUGUCAAA